rnacentral:rRNA from 1 species
GAUCGUAAAGCUCUGUUGUUAGGGAAGAACAAGUGCGAGAGUAACUGCUCGCACCAUGACGGUACCUAACCAGAAAGCCACGGCUAACUACGUGCCAGCAGCCGCGGUAAUACGUAGGUGGCAAGCGUUGUCCGGAAUUAUUGGGCGUAAAGGGCUCGCAGGCGGUUUCUUAAGUCUGAUGUGAAAGCCCCCGGCUCAACCGGGGAGGGUCAUUGGAAACUGGGAAACUUGAGUGCAGAAGAGGAGAGUGGAAUUCCACGUGUAGCGGUGAAAUGCGUAGAGAUGUGGAGGAACACCAGUGGCGAAGGCGACUCUCUGGUCUGUAACUGACGCUGAGGAGCGAAAGCGUGGGGAGCGAACAGGAUUAGAUACCCUGGUAGUCCACGCCGUAAACGAUGAGUGCUAAGUGUUAGGGGGUUUCCGCCCCUUAGUGCUGCAGCUAACGCAUUAAGCACUCCGCCUGGGGAGUACGGUCGCAAGACUGAAACUCAAAGGAAUUGACGGGGGCCCGCACAAGCGGUGGAGCAUGUGGUUUAAU